UGACCGUACUAAGGUAGCAUAAUAAUUUGCCUUUUAAUUGGAGGCUAGUAUGAAUGGCUUGACGUGAAAUAUACUGUCUCAACUAUAUUUAGUAGAAUUUAACUUUUAGGUGAAGAGGCCUAAAUUUUGUGGGAAGACAAGAAGACCCUAUUGAGCUUUAAAUAUUUAUGUUAGUGGGAGCCUAAGAUUUAUAUGAUGGUCAUUACUUCUAAGUAUGUUGGUUGGGGCGACCGAGGAGUAUAAAGUAACCUCCUUGUAAUGUAAAGAAUUUGUUAUCAACGAACCUGUAAUAUGGGUUAUUCGGUAGUUACCAUAGGGAUAACAGCGUAAUUCUUUUGAAGAGUUCAUAUCGAAGAAAGAGAUUGCGACCUCGAUGUUGGAUUAAGGUGUCCUAAGGG
rnacentral:rRNA from 1 species